rnacentral:rRNA from 1 species
UACAGAGGUGGCGAACGUUGUUCGGAUUUACUGGGCGUAAAGGGUCCGCAGGCGGUCUUGUGUGUCAGAUGUGAAAGCCCACGGCUCAACCGUGGAAUUGCAUUUGAAACUGCAAGACUAGAGUACUGGAGGGGAGAAGGGAACACUUGGUGUAGCGGUGAAAUGCGUAGAUAUCAAGUGGAACACCGGCGGCGAAGGCGCUUCUCUGGACAGAUACUGACGCUCAUGGACGAAAGUUAGGGUAGCGAAAGGG